UCCAAUAUGCACAACUGAGUAAUAGUAUGAUAGAUAGGUGGAGCGUUUGAAGUGAUGCAUUUCAGGUAUAAAAGUCACUGAAUAUAACUUUUUGCGACUCCGGAAGCUGGAAUUUCAGAGUGCCCCUGAAUGCAACCAUGGUGUGGGAUUUCCGAGUGUUCCUGAAUGCAGCCAUUACACAGCUGAACCGUAUUACGUAAGUUGUCCCGUCCGUGUUUUUGGGUCAUUGCUGCUACCUAUAGCACAAGCCACACUCCUGCAUAAGACACAGAAUGUUGAUCCUGCCCUGUGCUUUACUUCGUCUUGGCUCCAGCAGUGCACGCAGCUGAGGUGCAUCAUCUCAUCAGCGGCUUUCGAAGUACCACACAGCUGAGGCGGGUUACCUAUCACCAAUGGCAGUACUUAAGACGCUGGCACACGAUCACUCCUCGCCAGUACAUUGACGAAUCCCUUCUCAUCCUUCGGCCUCAUCAUACAACAUACAUAUCUUUUUCAGUUUACGCCUCUGUGUGGAGCAGUAGCUGCCCUGAGCAGCUCUUGCUCAAUAUUUGUGGGUUUUUUUUUUUCAAGUUUUCUAGAUUUUCUGUGUUACUUUUUGUGCUAUGUAGCUUUCCCGUAAACGUUUGGGGAGUUGGGCUACCAGGAAUACAAGUUUUAUUGCGUUUGCAUUAUGUUUUUAUACUUUUUACAAGGUUUUGAGUCUGCCUGGGGAGGACCCUGUUUGCCAACAGUCGGCCAUCAAUGCCAGCAAUCCUUCUGAGCUCCUUGUAGUGAGCUGCCGGGGAUUUUCCACAGGGAUGCGAGGUGGUGCGACGGGAGAGGUGGGACUGCGGAGCUGGAGUGAGGCGCUGGGGGAGGAAACGGAGGUAUGGGCCAUUAAUCUGUUCAUUAAUGAACAAUGAAAAGCUAAACUCUCCAUUUUCUUUCUUCAUGUCUAUAGUUGCAUACCAUGACUGAUUCCACGCUGCCUCUGAAGUAAAAAUAAAAUAUGACUUUGUGAUGGUUAAAAUAAUGUAUUAUUUGUUUAAAGUGUUGAAUGCCUUCCCAGCAAA